CUACGUGCCAGCAGCCGCGGUAAUACGUAGGUCCCGAGCGUUGUCCGGAUUUAUUGGGCGUAAAGCGAGCGCAGGCGGUUAGAUAAGUCUGAAGUUAAAGGCUGUGGCUUAACCAUAGUACGCUUUGGAAACUGUUUAACUUGAGUGCAAGAGGGGAGAGUGGAAUUCCAUGUGUAGCGGUGAAAUGCGUAGAUAUAUGGAGGAACACCGGUGGCGAAAGCGGCUCUCUGGCUUGUAACUGACGCUGAGGCUCGAAAGCGUGGGGAGCAAACAGGAUUAGAUACCCUGGUAGUCCGCACAGUAAACGAUGGAUGCCCGCUGUUAGCGCCUGGCGUUAGCGGCUAAGCGAAAGCAUUAAGCAUCCCACCUGGGGAGUACGCCGGCAACGGUGAAACUCAAAGGAAUUGACGGGGGCCCGCACAAGCGGAGGAACAUGUGGUUUAAUUCGAUGAUACGCGAGGAACCUUACCCGGGCU
rnacentral:rRNA from 1 species